rnacentral:lncRNA from 7 species
AACAGGGGUAAGGUGCGGCUGCUCCAGGAAGAACCAAGUUGCCAAACUGCUCCUAGCAGUUCCAGGUCAUUACUGCAGUAUUUGAACACUUUGGAAAACCGUGGCUGGUGAGAUUAGAGGCAUGUCUCAAGACUAUCUGUAAGACUUUCAGUCUGCUGGUGUGAAGGACUCAUUCCAGAACCAGUAACAACAUCUUUCCCUUUCUUUACAGCCUGCUCAAAGCAGGGGUUCCAUUUCCAGCUGCAACCAAGCUCCUCUGAGAUCUCCAUGAGACAUCAAAUCAGUAAUAUCCCAUCUGUUAAAAAGGAGUGAAGAACACAUGAAAGGAGAAAGAAAGGCAAGGCAGGUAUGCUCAUGACUGCCAAAGACAACUGCUUCAGUCUUUUUCUGAGGCUUGAGCUGGAAUAAGCAUCAGCUUUCUACAGUUUUACCAACUACUGCAUGUCUUUGUGAAGGAUUUCUGCACUGUCAGAUACAGAGUAGUCUGUAUUGGAUGCGUCUUCUCAUACUGAAAUACCAACAGCACUUGAAUGAUGUCAGGACUUAGCCAAGAUAUCCAGAGAUGCUUCUUAAGGCUAGAUUCGUUACUGAUGCCCCAGCUAAGGCCAGAAGUGUAUGUUCUUCAACCUGAUGGCUGAAUCACAUUCUGCCUAAAAGACAUUUUUCAGUAUGCAUGAUUUUUUUUUUCAAAGAGGUUUUUUCAAAGUUGUGCUUGCUGCAGAUAAAAUAUUUUAACUGAUCUAAAAGGAAAUGCUAGAUCUUGCUCUUAGGAUUUGAAUCCCUUCAUUUUUAACAAUUAUUCCAAAUGUUUGGAAAAGCAUAUUAAAGUAUAAUAUGCAUUUUCUAGCUGAAGGAAUCACCACUUCUGUUAAACUCUAGGUAUAGUUACUGUCUUCCUAAAAACCCUUAAUUUUGAUGAAUAACACAUCUUUCACCAAAGUAUCUGAAUAUUGCCUCCUUUACAGAAAAUGUUGAGUGCUUUUGUCUGCAAGCUGUUACUUCUUGGUUUAAUCAAAAAGGCCACCCAAAACAUUAGAACUCUGGCUGUUACUCAAGACGUGUCUUUGCGGGCUGGCAAAGGUUUUAUGACAGAUACACAACUCUCUUGUUACUUAAUGCAGAAUAAUGGAGAUUUAGAUUUAGAUUAAAAUGUUCCAUGGGGGACAGAAGAAGAUUAUUGAAUAAUGAAUUUAUGACUCAGAAAAGAUUCCAUAGCAUCAAACAAAAAAUAAAACAAAACAAAAAAAAUGAAACAUAAAGAUAUGGAACAUCAACUAAAUUUAUCAUUGAGAGCAUGCAGCUCAGUGCUGACUGGAAAAAACAGUCAUAUCACUUGGAAAGUUGACAUGGUGCUGGAGUGCACAGGGGGUUAGUGCCCAGCAGGAUCUUUGAUGGCACUCAUGCAUGGCUGCUGGCAGAUGCUGGCACAGGAGCAGCUCUGAGAGACAGCAGGCAGCCCUCGUGGAGUGGGAUGCAGACUUCCUCUGUCAAGGUGCUCAUAUCAGCAUGCACAAAGCCACCAGGAAGAGUCACCAUCAGCUUCGGGAGAAGAACUUUAAGGAAAGUGGGACACCAAGCUUUGCCAAGUGCACAGCUGGAGCUCCCCCUCAUCCAGACAUUGCAUGUAAAGUAGAAAAGGCACUACCCAGUGUGGCUGAGUUCCAAAACUCUCUCAGCAAAGUUUAUCCUUCAUCAAAUCUACAUGGGACCUCUGGUGAUUGUGCUCCUAACUGUUGCUCUUCAGUUAAAGUUUGGUUGGGAUGACUCUAGAAUCAAACAUUAAAUCAGUAAGGUCUAUGGGUGUCCUAACUCUGUGUCUUUAUUAGAUCUCCCAUUUUUGUGCAUAGCUCAUUUCAGCUAUAAGCUCUUUGUAGUAGCAUCUGUAUUUCAUUAUAUGAUUGCAUAGUAUCUGGGACUGCAGAGAAAUGUAGUUAAUUAAUUCAUUUAACUCAAAUGGAACUUCAUUGUGCUGAAUAAUGGCAGAGAGGUAUGAUCGCUAAAUAAAUUGUCUGCUGUUUAAUUUUAAUUAACAUCUGGUGUACUGUGGUAGUUCCUCUUUGAAGCAAAAGUGUAUCAUUCCUUUAUGAAAAUCCCAAUGACCUGAAAAGAGGAAUUUACCAAUUGCUGUGUUCCUGUGCUCUGUAGUCUCUCUGAAAGCCAUGCAAGAACCCUUCCUUUCAGCUGGGACAACACUUCAUGGGUUUUUUUUCAUGUGUUUCUGUGUGAACUGUUGCUAAAAAGAGGUGCAUUCUCAAUCUCAGGCUGUGGAGCUGGCGCACACAUUCAAAAACAACAACAACAACAACAUAAGAUCUGUCUGUAUUCGAGCUGCUUUAAAAUUGCCUUGCCAGUAUGUUAAACUCCAUAGAAAAAUGAACAAAGGAUUUGUUACUAGAAGUGCUGUAAAUUAUAUUUUCUUUUGCUUACAGCCUAGAGAGUAAUUAAAAAGACAUUUAAAU